GCACUGCUGAGGAGUCCUAUAAUAGGACGAAGCGGCCGUACAGUGC
rnacentral:hammerhead_ribozyme from 1 species